UCCAUCAAUAUAAUUCACUAUAAAAUGAAACUGAAAGAGAAAAAUCACAUGAUAAUCUCAUUAUAUGCUGAAAAAGCUUGCAAAAAUAUUCCAACACCCAUUCAUGUUAAAAGCAUGAGACCAAUCAGGGAUACGAUUCCUAUGCAGAAACAUAAUAGAGGCAAUGGACAGCAGGCCGGUACCCAACAUCAAUCUAAAGGGAAAGAAACGUAAAGCAAUUCCAUUAAAUCAAGGACAAUGUAAGGCUGCCCACUCUCCCUAUUCUUUAUAGUAUUUGAAAUUCUAUCCAGGGUAAAAGCAUAGUUCAAUAUUGAUUCUGACAUGGAGUAUGGCCAAGGCCUGUGAAGGAGGAAUGGCACACAGCUUUAGAACUCCUGGGGUAUGGCCCACUCUUCAGCACAGUCUCCUUGGACCUUGGUGAGUCAUGAACCCCACGAGAACUUCCCACAGAGUGUCAUUCAGUUAUUGCAAUCAUUCUCUCUUAAUCUAAGAAGUGCAUGAAAAUCCUCAUGGAGCUUCCCACCACUCAGAGGGCAGUGCCAUUGGCAUUUGCAAUAACCGUGGUCCAGGUCUUUUAGCAAUUGCCCCUGGGGUAGAUCAGUGCUUCUAUCGUUGACCAAGGAAAUGUAGAAUUGUCACAACCCGUAAAAAGGACCACAACCCUUAAAAAGCAUUUGGAAAAAUAAAAUUGAUUGUGAAGCUGGCUAAGAUCUUUUCCCUACUGACUCUGUUAUAAAAAACAAUGUAUGAAACAAUUGGUAGUUCAGAAAGGCUGGGACCUUUUAAGGUCAGGGAUCAAGAACAAUGGCAGCACAGACUAAUGGUGUGACUGUCACAAAGGCUGGAAUGUUGAUGACUGAUUUCUGAACCAGUUUUACCCUCUGCUUCCUGAUAGGAUUUAAUAAUGAUUCCCAAUUACAGAUGUGCAUUCUGAUCAUUUGAAGCAGAUGACAUUUUUAUACAGAUGUUUAUAUUUCUGUUUUUUUUAAAGAUUCUUAUAAGAGUAUUUUUGAAGAUAAAUAAUACAAUACUUAACCAUUUCUCUGUAAAUUCAAAUUGCUUACUUAUGAAGUUAUGUUGGCCUUGGGAAUAAUUUGUUUUCUUUAGGUGACUAUGUAAUAUUUGUUCUAAUACUGUAUUGGGUAUCACUUUUUCAACACUAUGCAAGAGAAGAAAACUAAAACAUGAUCACACUUUUUGUAAUACAAUAUUCAAUAAAUUAAUGGUCUAUAGGGAAAAUACUGCCCAUUGGGAAACAGAGAAAACCUAGAAAAUUUAACUGUAUGUCACUCGAAUGAACCUGGGAAUAAAAAUGUUAUGUAGAAGAUUCUCAUAUACUUUAUGUUCCUAAGUGAUUUCUACCCAUGUCAAGUCCCUGACUAAAUAUCUUCAUUCAGAGCAUGUAACCACUAAUGAAGCCAAGAGAAUUCUCUAGAUUUAGAGAGAUGUAGUAUGUAAUGGUUUUGACUGUUUCACAAGAGACUAUUCUGGAAAAGGCACUCUUGAACCUGGUCAAUGUAAGGAAAUCUGUUCAGCAUGUAGGCCAUAGCAAGUCUCAGUGACAUCAUCAUUAGGCCCUCCAUUAAAAAUCUCUUGUAUCCUGGAGAGCCCUAGUUUCUUCUGUGAUGUCACAAGUGUUGUGACAUCAUCUGCCUCUUAGAUAUUCCAUCAGUACCUGUAGAGUUUACUAAUUGAUCUGUAAUUCAGAAUAAACAGCCAUUUGGGAGAGAAAAAAAGAAGAUGAAGAGAUCAGAGAUGGGGAGAAGGAACCUGGCCUUCUGUCUUGGUAUAAAAAAGAAGAAAUAUGUGGUCCAUGGUGCACCGAGCUCUUGGAGAAGUUGCUGAACAUCCUAAAGACUUUUGGGCAGAUGGAAAAGGGCUUGUCUGUCAAAUGCUUUUCAAUCGCCAAGAAGUUUGAGGUACCUGGAGAAUGCUUCCUCCUGUUCAUCCUCAUCCUGCUCUCAUGGCCUUUGUUAUCUGCACCAGUCCAUCUCUACACACCCCCAUGUACAUUUUUCUGAUGAACUUACGUAUCCUGAAAUUUGGUUACACUAGUUCUGUCAUACACAAUAUAUGGAGAGACUUGAAAGUGAGAUCUGAGGAAUCUCUCAGGGGGGAUGUGCCACACAGACGUUUUUCUUCACACUUUUUGUAUAAUUCAUUGCUGCCUAUUGCCAGCCAUGGCCUUUGUCCACUGUAUGGCCCUGCUUCAUUCUGCAGCCCAAAUGAGUAGUGAGAUGACAGAUAUCCUCCUAAUGCUUACCUGCGAUAAGCGAAGCAAGAAACACUUUGUGGUAUCUGUGUCAAGUACAUAUAAUCUCAACCUAAAAGAGGAAAACCACUGGGCAAAUCCAAAUUCAGAGACAUUCUUGCAAGGUAAGUAGUUAUCUUCAAAGGUGUGGUCACAGAAGAUAAAAAUAGUAAUGAAUUAUCACAAAACUGAAUGACUUAAGAUAUGUAAUAAGUAAAUGUUAACUGGAUUUCUGGAUUGGAUAUGGGCAUAGAAAGUGUACAGUUCUAGAAACAUUGUUGAUAUGAUUUGGUAAACCUACUGUGUUACUUGUAACAUUUUUUUUUCAAUUUUCUGAUUUUUGAGAAUUAGUCAUUAGAUUGCUUAAAGUAUAAAAAUUCAGGAAUUAGGACACGAUAUAAAACCAUAC